GACGAACGCUGGCGGCGUGCUUAACACAUGCAAGUCGAACGGAAAGGCCCUGCUUUUGUGGGGUGCUCGCGUGGCGAACGGGUGAGUAACACGUGAGUAACCUGCCCUUGACUUUGGGAUAACUUCAGGAAACUGGGGCUAAUACCGGAUAGGAGCUCCUGCUGCAUGGUGGGGGUUGGAAAGUUUCGGCGGUUGGGGAUGGACUCGCGGCUUAUCAGCUUGUUGGUGGGGUAGUGGCUUACCAAGGCUUUGACGGGUAGCCGGCCUGAGAGGGUGACCGGCCACAUUGGGACUGAGAUACGGCCCAGACUCCUACGGGAGGCAGCAGUGGGGAAUAUUGCACAAUGGGCGGAAGCCUGAUGCAGCAACGCCGCGUGCGGGAUGACGGCCUUCGGGCUGUAAACCGCUUUCGCCUGUGACGAAGCGUGAGUGACGGUAAUGGGUAAAGAAGCACCGGCUAACUACGUG
rnacentral:rRNA from 1 species